AUUGAACGCUAGCGGGAUGCCUUACACAUGCAAGUCGAACGGAUUGGCGAACGGGUGAGUAAUGUAUCGGAACGUGCCCAGUAGCGGGGGAUAACUACGCGAACGCGUAACUAAUCCCGCAUCCUAUUGGAACCGCCGGUAUCGGAUUAGCUAUGUGGUGGGGUAACGGCUCACAAGGGCGACGAUCCGUAGCUGGUUUGAGAGGACGACCAGCCACACUGGGACUGAGACACGGCCCAGACUCCGACGGGAGGCAGCAGUGGGGAAUUUUGGACAAUGGGGGAAAGCCUGAUUCAGCCAUCCCGCGUGUGCGAUGAAGGCCUUCGGGUUGUAAAGCACUUUUGGCAGGAAAGCGGUACCUGCAGAAUAAGCACCGGCUAACUACGUGCCAGCCGCCGCGGUAAUUC
rnacentral:rRNA from 1 species